rnacentral:rRNA from 1 species
AACGAACGCUGGCGGCAUGCCUAACACAUGCAAGUCGAACGAGACCUUCGGGUCUAGUGGCGCACGGGUGCGUAACGCGUGGGAACCUGCCCUUAGGUUCGGAAUAACUCCCCGAAAGGGGUGCUAAUACCGGAUAAUGUCUUCGGACCAAAGAUUUAUCGCGUUUGGGUGGGCCUGCGUUGGUUUAGCUAGUUGGUAGGGUAAAAGCCUACCAAGGGGACGAUCCUUAGCUGGUGUGAGAGGAUGAGCAGCCCCACUUGGACUGAGACACGGCCCAGACUCCGACGGGAAGGAGCAGUGGAGAAUAUUGGACGAGGGGCGAAGGCCUGAUCCAGCAAUGCCGCGUAAGUGAUGAAGGCCUUAGGGUUGUAAAGCUCUUUUACCCGAGAUGAUAAUGACAGUACCGGGAGAAUAAGCUCCGGCUAACUCCGUG